AUGGACAUCAUAAGCCUUGAAGAGGCACUGAAGAAUUUUUUAGAGCGGCGUAAGUAUUUGAUCAUGUUGGGUGAUGUUUGGACUCCUGAAGCAUUUCAUGAUCUUUCUAGGGUGGUUAUUCGUGACAAGAAGGGCAAUAGAAUUGUAAUCACAACCAGGGAAGGCAAUGUUGCUCGACUUGCUUCUCAAGGACAGAUCUUAACACUAAAACCUCUAUCAAAGGAUGGAUCAUGGGAACUCUUCUGUAAGACAGCUUUUCCUAGAGAUACCAAAUGUGAGUGUCCCACAGAACUGAUAGAAUUAGCACAUGAAGUGGUUGACAAGUGUAAAGGCAUAACCCUCGCAAUUGUCUCUAUUGGCAAGCUCCUCUUUGUACGUGACAAGACCAAAGAGGAACUAAAGUGA
rnacentral:rRNA from 1 species